GUGCCAGCAGGCCGCGGUAAUACGUAGGGGGCAAGCGUUGUCCGGAUUCACUGGGUGUAAAGGGCGCGUAGGCGGGAUAGCAAGUCAGUGGUGAAAUCUUGCAGCUUAACUGCAAAACUGCCAUUGAUACUGCUGUUCUUGAAUGUGGAAGAGAGAGGCGGAAUUCCAGGUGUAGUAGUGAAAUACGUAGAUAUCUGGAAGAACACCAAUUGCGAAGGCUGCUUCUUGGUCCAUUAUUGACGCUGAGGCGCGAAAGCGUGGGGAGCAAACAGG
rnacentral:rRNA from 1 species